rnacentral:rRNA from 1 species
CCCUUAGACGUUCUGGGCCGCACGCGCGCUACACUGACCAGUGCAACAAGCAUCCGUCCUUGGCCGACAGGCUCGGGCAAUCUUUGAACGCUUGUCGUGAUGGGGAUAGACUUUUGCAAUUUUUGGUCUUCAACGAGGAAUUCCUAGUAAACGCAAGUCAUCAACUUGCAUUGAUUACGUCCCUGCCCUUUGUACACACCGCCCGUCGCACCUACCGAUUGAAUGGUCCGGUGAAGCCUCCGGAUUGGCGCGCACCUCGGUGCCGCCGAGAAGUUGGCUAAACCUUACCAUUUAGAGGAAGGUGAAGUCGUAACA